rnacentral:lncRNA from 1 species
AUAAUAUCAUUUGUUGGGUAUAAAAUACCCUCGAUCGAAGUUCUUGACAGGAUUGACCCUCCCAGGACUCCUCUGGCUUUCAACUGCAGAUGGUAUCUCUCCGGACUUCUCCAACAGUCAGAUUUUCACAGUGCUGACUGAAUUCUCCUGACGGACGAACUCCCACUGCACCACCCGAGCUCCUUCAACAUGAGUUCCCACAGUCAUCUAUUAAGCCACCCCAAGUGCUCACUGAGCUCCGCCGCCAGCUGACCUUCUACGACUAUCAGCUGUUCCCCGAAUCCCUUCCAGACUUCUUCCAGCCAGGUUCAACUCCAAUCUGAACUACCCC